UCACAAGGUCAGGAGAUCGAGACCAUCCUGGCUAACACAGUGAAACCCCGUCUCUACUAAAAAUACUAAAAAUUAGCCAGGCGUGGUGGCGGGCGCCUGUAGUCCCAGCUACUCAGGAGGCUGAGGCAGGAGAAUGGCGUGAACCCGGGAGGCGGAGCUUGCAGUGAGCCGAGAUUGCGCCACCGCACUCCAGCCUGGGCGACAGAGCGAGACUCCGUCUCAAAAAAAAUGACUGGACAAAAAACACUCUGAUGCAAACAGGCAAGAAACCCAGCAAGGCCUAUCUAGAUUCUCCUUGGCCUGUCUGCAGCAUUCAUUCCUUCUGGGUACGGAACAGGACCCUCUGGAAUGGGGGCUGUGGCCUACAACAGUUAAACAAGUGAACUAAAGGGCUCCCAAGAUCUCUCCUGCAGCAUUUUCCUUGAGAAGGAGGAAGGUUUGCAUCUCUGUAAGUAUAGGUU
rnacentral:lncRNA from 1 species